AAAAGCUCAGAGUAAUGAGAUGUGAGAAGGACUCACCAAGGCUUACCAGCUUUGAAGUUGCAGGAAAAGAGCUGAGCCAAGGAAUGCAGGUGGUCUCUAGAAGCUAGAACAGGGUGAAGAGAAUGUGGUAGGAGUGAGUGUAUCAUUGCCAAGCCUAGAGCUCAAGAGGCCUUGCAAAUUACACUGUGUUUCAGAACCCUGCCACCACCAUGAGUACAAGGCCGUCUUGCCUGCUGGAUAUGAGAGAAGAUGAGAGAAGCCCACAUGAAGAGAGGAGCUGCCCCAGCUGAGGCAAUCCUGGACGAACCAGCCCCUAACCAACCCGGCCAUAGAUUAUUCACCCAUGAUUAGCCCAGAAAAGCCCCAGCUGAGUGAAGCCCAAAUUGCUAAUUUGGAGAUAUAUGAGCUAAAUAAAUAGUUGUUGUUCUAAGCCACCAUGUUUUGGGACUGAUUGUUACAUGGCAAUUGUUAGGUAGCUUCUUUGUGUACUGGCAAAUGAAAAAAGAAAUGCUCCUGAUUUCAUCUUAAAUUACCACUUGGGUUUUAACUGGAAGAAGCAGCAGUUCCCUUUUAGGGUCAACACGUUAGAUGAAAGAACUGACUUGUUUCUCC
rnacentral:lncRNA from 1 species